UUUGCUCAUCAGAUGUCAAUGUCAAUGAACCCGAUCUGAGAACAUUACUGGCCACCCUGGUCUCAAAAGUCUGUGUGGAAGGGAUGCCCAGCAGUAAUAUGAUCAAUGUAUGCAGACCAAACGUGUUGGAUGGUGCUGUGCGGGCCUUCGCAAGGAGAGGUUUUACCCCAGAGGCCAAAUUAAGUGUCGUUUUCAUGGAUGACUACAACCAGGCAGAGGGCGCUGUGGAUGAGGGAGGGCCAAAAAGGGGGUUUUCCCGACUCCUCAUGUUAGCGCUUAAGGAAAGUGCCAAAAUAAUUUGUCGCUGGAUAGCCGUGUUUGGUAUUCUUCAUAUGUUCUCUUUGUUUAACUUGCUUUUUUAAUUAUAUUUAUGCCUUUGUUUUCAAUCGUAGAUUUAAUUUUAUAAUUUUCUAAUGCAAAAUACUUUACACACAGUAUGUCUUAUCUGAAAAAGUCUAUAUUUUUGCAUCAUUACAGCGAGGUCUGUAGGAGCAAGUUUAUGGAACAAUGAUUGCUGUGGCACUGACACAUGGAGGAUUGUUUCCUUUUUUUUUCAGAGAGACUUUAUCAAAACCUGUGCUCAUCAUCACCCACUCUUGAGGAAGGAGCAGAUGUGGAUUUGCUGUGCAAAUUAAAAAAGGAAUAACAUAAUUCUUAAUUAUUCAAUCCAAUCACAAAAUGCCUGAUUCUACUAAUGAACAGUCAACUAAUAAACUGACAGAUCAGUGAUGCAGGAGACAGUACAGCAGCUAGAGAUGCCAUUACGGAAGCUGUCCUCGUUGGGGUCCCAGGGGCAUAUCAGCACCAUGGAGGAACGGGACCAGCUAGUUCAGGCAGCCAUUACUUUAAUGUGGAAGGACAUACCAAAGAAGCCUAACAACAACUUACAGAAGGGUUACGCACACUUGGCCUUCUGGAGAUGAUGGAAAACCAUCCCAACAUCUUCAAGAAGGCAUUUUGCUCAUCAGAGAGGCCUCUAAAAGCUACUGAUCUGAUCUCUUUGUCCCCGGUGGAACUGUCCCGUCCUGGAAGCAAAGGUGGAAGGAUUUUGGAGAGACUUUCUUUUAGAUAUUGAAGAUGGUGUGUUUGAGAUAACACUCGAACAACUGCUGGUGUUCACUUCUGGAGCUGACAGAAUACCAGCACUUGGUUUUUCUCCACAGCCAACACUGACUUUCAACCAUGAGACUGGGCAGAAAUACCCUGAGGCCCUAAAACUGAAACUAUGAUCCACAACACCUACGAGGAGUUCACCAACUUCAUGUGCUCCUACCUUGCGCACCUGUGGUUCGUUGCUCUGAUGGCUCGUGCUGAGCAUAUAAGCGGUGUGUGCAGGAGUGUGAGACACGCAGCGGUUAACUCCGUGCGCGUCAUGACCAUCGAAACAGCGAUCAACUCAAGACUGUGUUCUGUGUAUUGUGCCACUGUUCUGUUUUAGUUUGUUAGUGUUUGGUAUGUCUAGUGUAGAGAAAAUGUGAGUUUUCUGUGGGAAGAGUGAGAACAUGAGAGACGUGAGAUUGUGCAGUCAUUUAUUAGUAUAAAUAAAUGUCUUAAACUGC